rnacentral:rRNA from 1 species
UACAGAGGGGGCAAGCGUUGUUCGGAAUUACUGGGCGUAAAGGGCGCGUAGGCGGCCUUCUAAGUCGAACGUGAAAUCCCCGGGCUCAACCCGGGAACUGCGUCCGAUACUGGAAGGCUUGAAUCCGGGAGAGGGAUGCGGAAUUCCAGGUGUAGCGGUGAAAUUCGUAGAUAUCGAGAGGAACACCGGUGGCGAAGGCGGCCUUCUGGACAGUGACUGACGCUGAGACGCGAAAGCGUGGGGAGCAAACAGG